UACAGAGGUGGCAAGCGUUGUUCGGAAUUACUGGGCGUAAAGGGCGCGUAGGCGGUUCGUUAAGUCCUGUGUGAAAUCCCCCGGCUCAACUGGGGAACUGCACAGGAAACUAGCGGGCUUGAGUUCGGGAGAGGGAAGCGGAAUUCCGGGUGUAGCGGUGAAAUGCGUAGAUAUCAGGAGGAACACCGGUGGUGUAGACGGCUUACUGGACCACGACUGACACUGAGGCACGAAAGCGUGGGUAGCAAACAGG
rnacentral:rRNA from 1 species